rnacentral:lncRNA from 1 species
UUUAUUUGAUUCAUGGAAUCAUGACCUUUUUUUUUUACUGUAAUUCAUUUCAAUAUAAAGAAAUAUAAAUCUUGACCAGAAAUAGUUCUAAAAAUGAUGAACUACUAAAAUAAUUUUUAAAAUUUAUAACCCAAUUCCAAUCUUCUUGUUUAGGUAUAUUCUUUUUUUAUUGACUAUUUACAAUUAAAAUUCUCUUUAAAAUAUUUUAAUCUCGUUUGGUAAUAUUUUUUCUUUAGAUUUUCAUCAGUAUUGACCAUUAUUAAAAAACAAAAAAAAACACAGUAUUUUUAUUAUGAAAUUAAUAAUUCAACAACUAUAUACAUACAUGUUAG